rnacentral:lncRNA from 1 species
CGGAGGUCUCGGCCGGGCAGGCUCAGGCGCGGCAGGGUCGCAUGGCCUGUCCCGCCCGGGAGGGGCACGUUCUGAUAGGCCGGUGACCAGAGGGACACCGACUGCCGGUAGGAGCGGAGUCUGCAGACAAGCAAGUCUGCAAGGCGGUGAGAAAGGGGAGCCGCGAAGUUCUAUCGAGAUUCUGGCAGAGGCAACUCGACUGCACAGUGCCUUGAUCUCCUGGGGAUGCACAAGGUCGCAGGAGGCCUCUGUGGCCAAAGGCUGCCAGGCCCGCGGAGCCUCAGCACCGAGGACAGCGCUCAGGCAGCCCAGCCCACUGUAGUAUAGCGUCCUAGGCCAGGCCGGGGCUAAGACCAGAACCCAGGAAGAAGAGGUGAGCAACCAGAGAGGCGGAGAUCAAGAAGCACAGGCUGGAUGGGGAGACUGCCUGUCCCAUGUCCCUGGGCCCAGAACUCGGCAGCUGGGAUGUGUCCGUGUCUGUGGCAGUCCAGCUGUACCAUGAGCAGCUGCACGCGCGUCCUGGCCUGUCUGCGGACCUGAUCCGGCAGCCAGUCCCAGGCCCUGUCCACCUCUACACCACCUCUCUGCUGCAGGAGCAUUCUGGGUCCCUGUGCGGCUCCUGGCAGCCUCCUCUCCACAGUGACAUCACGGGACACUUUUAGCCUGGCCUCCUGCAGGAUGUCGCAUCCGGUUACUUUUCCUAUGGAUGUCUCUGCUACUUGUGAAUAUUCAAAUUCAAAAACUUGGGCUGUAGUUGUGACUCAUUGCGCUUGCUUCACUGUUUUUUGUUUUUCUCUGAACGUGGCUUGGCUUUUCCUUAGUUAUAGGGACAGGAUGGUCCUGGGCCUGCCUGUUGGAUCAUGGCCAGUUUUCUUUCUUCUCCGGGCCUGUCCCCUGUGCUGGGUAGGGGGACUUGCUGUUUCUGUCCUGUCCCCAAAGUCUUCUUCCCCUUUGGGUUUCCAUCCAUGGACCAUUUGUGGACAUGGGCAGCUGUGACUUGGAGGCCUCCAGCCUUACUGGAUGUGGCAGCCAUGCGGCCCAGGAAGAAACCGAGGCUCAGAGAUGCCCAGGCCAGGCUGGGGGCCCUGGGACUUUCCUCUUAGGAAGGUCGGCUACAGUAGUGGCCAGCUCUGUUUACCCCUGUCUCGACUCACUCCAGUAUCUCUUAGAGGGACAGCAGGCAGGCAGCAGUUUUUAAGUUCUGGCACAGAGUCCGGCCCAGAGAAUGCAGAGACCAUGAUGCCAUUCGACAGGAGACAACUUCAGGGCGAACACCGGCCUUAGGCCACACAGCAGUUUUGGCUUCUUCACUCCCAUUCGUUCGUUCACUCUGUGUCCAGCGCCCCCUGCAACCAGGGAGGCUGGGGAGACUAAUCGGAAGCAGCAGUAACAGCAGUCUCGCGCGGUGAGCCUGGUAACAGAUGGAUGACCCUAGCCUAAGGCUAAGAAGCCCUCCUAAGACAGAAGAUAUUCAAUCUGGGCCUUAAAUCUUGGGGUAAGAAUUUUCCAGGCAUCGAAGUAGGGCAAAGAUACCUGGCUUUGUUUCUGUUCGUGCCACGCAGCCAUCAGCAAGCCUCUGCCCUUUCUGUGGUCAUGGGUACAAGUGAUGCCAACCUGGAGGCUUCUGGGUACGAAGACCAACUAGCCAUGACUCUACUGUCUUUUAAUCAUCACAGUUCAGUGACCACCCUCUACAUCUGUAAAGCCCGGCGUCCACUCUGGGUCCAGUCUAUGCCCCAACAUUUUCAACACUUUUACAUUGACAGUUUCUCACAUUGUAAGUACCUCUUUCCAUUGCCACCCAGAAAACUAACUGUUCAGGCUUACUUGAAACCAGGAAUGACUUGGAGUGUGCCAAUGAGCCACUCUUUCAUGAGCCUUUGAGACAAAAGCCAGCAGUGAGUGGGGGAAAGUCCUGCCCAUGACAUCCAGCUCACUGGUACAAGGCUGGCAGCAGAAGCGAUGGUGGUGGAUGCUUCUGGGGGUUGUUUCUAGAAGGCGAAAUUUGAGGCUAUUUCUUGAACCUCCCCCAAGUGGUAUGAGCUAUGUACUUUUUUUUUUUUUUUAAUUCUGG